rnacentral:tRNA from 1 species
CGUUACGUUUUCGGGCGAGAAUGGCGGUUUCUACCCGCCCGAUGUGGGUUCGAUUCCCACAGGACGC